rnacentral:rRNA from 1 species
UACGUAGGGUGCAAGCGUUAAUCGGAAUUACUGGGCGUAAAGCGUGCGCAGGCGGUUUUGUAAGUCUGACGUGAAAUCCCCGGGCUCAACCUGGGAAUUGCGUUGGAGACUGCAAGGCUAGAAUCUGGCAGAGGGGGGUAGAAUUCCACGUGUAGCAGUGAAAUGCGUAGAGAUGUGGAGGAACACCGAUGGCGAAGGCAGCCCCCUGGGUCAAGAUUGACGCUCAUGCACGAAAGGCGUGGGGAGCA